CAGUGUGAUGAUAGCCAGGGGCUCCAGCACCAGACUGAACAGAAGGUGAAGGAAAUUAUCUUCCAGUGCUAUCUGGAA
rfam:Spinacia oleracea cultivar SynViroflay scaffold15420.con0003.1, whole genome shotgun sequence.